rnacentral:tRNA from 1 species
GGCGGCGUGGCCGAGUGGCUUAGGGUGCUGGAUUUGAAAUCUGGAGGUCUCUGGUUCAAAUCCUCCUCCCUGCCA